rnacentral:rRNA from 1 species
UACGAAGGUGGCAAGCGUUACUCGGAAUUACUAGGCGUAAAGGGCAGGUAGGCGGUUUGAUAAGUCUGUUGUGAAAGCUCCCGGCUUAACUGGGAGAGGUCAACAGAUACUGUCGAACUUGAGUAUGGGAGAGGGUACUGGAAUUCCUGGUGUAGCGGUGAAAUGCGCAGAUAUCAGGAGGAACACCGAUGGCGAAAGCAGGUACCUGGACCAUUACUGACGCUCAGCUGCGAAAGCUAGGGGAGCAAACAGG